rnacentral:rRNA from 1 species
AUUGAACGCUGGCGGCAGGCCUAACACAUGCAAGUCGAGCGGAUGAAGGGAGCUUGCUCCUGGAUUCAGCGGCGGACGGGUGAGUAAUGCCUAGGAAUCUGCCUGGUAGUGGGGGAUAACGUCCGGAAACGGGCGCUAAUACCGCAUACGUCCUGAGGGAGAAAGUGGGGGAUCUUCGGACCUCACGCUAUCAGAUGAGCCUAGGUCGGAUUAGCUAGUUGGUGGGGUAAAGGCCUACCAAGGCGACGAUCCGUAACUGGUCUGAGAGGAUGAUCAGUCACACUGGAACCGAGAAACGGUCCAGAACCCUAAGGGAGGCAGCAGUGGGGAAUAUUGGACAAUGGGCGAAAGCCUGAUCCAGCCAUGCCGCGUGUGUGAAGAAGGUCUUCGGAUUGUAAAGCACUUUAAGUUGGGAGGAAGGGCAGUAAGUUAAUACCUUGCUGUUUUGACGUUACCAACAGAAUAAGCACCGGCUAACUUCGUG